UACAGAGGUCCCGAGCGUUGUUCGGAUUCACUGGGCGUAAAGGGUGCGUAGGUGGCGAAGUAAGUCGGAUGUGAAAUCUCGGAGCUUAGCUCCGAAACGGCAUUGGAAACUACUUUGCUAGAGGUUUGGAGGGGGGACUGGAAUGCUUGGUGUAGCAGUGAAAUGCGUAGAUAUCAAGCGGAACACCAGAGGCGAAGGCGAGUCCCUGGACCGGAACUGACGCUGAGGCGCGAAAGCGUGGGUAGCAAACAGG
rnacentral:rRNA from 1 species